rnacentral:rRNA from 1 species
UCCGGAGGGUGCAAGCGUUAUCCGGAUUCACUGGGUUUAAAGGGUGCGUAGGCGGGCAGGUAAGUCCGUGGUGAAAUCUCUGAGCUUAACUCAGAAACUGCCAUGGAUACUAUUUGUCUUGAAUAUUGUGGAGGUAAGCGGAAUAUGUCAUGUAGCGGUGAAAUGCUUAGAUAUGACAUAGAACACCAAUUGCGAAGGCAGCUUACUACACAGUUAUUGACGCUGAGGCACGAAAGCGUGGGGAUCAAACAGG